GACGAACGCUGGCGGCGUGCUUAACACAUGCAAGUCGAACGAUGAAGCCGGAGCUUGCUCUGGUGAAUUAGUGGCGAACGGGUGAGUAACACGUGAGUAACCUGCCCUUGACUCUGGGAUAACUGCUAGAAAUGGUAGCUAAUACCGGAUACGACCCUCGGCGGCAUCGCCAGGGGGUGGAAAGAAUUUCGGUCAAGGAUGGACUCGCGGCCUAUCAGCUAGUUGGUGAGGUAACGGCUCACCAAGGCGACGACGGGUAGCCGGCCUGAGAGGGUGACCGGGCACACUGGGACUGGGACACGGCGCAGACUCCUACGGGGGGCAGCAGUGGGGAAUAUUGCACAAUGGGCGCAAGCCUGAUGCAGCAACGCCGCGUGAGGGAUGACGGCCUUCGGGUUGUAAACCUCUUUUAGUAGGGAAGAAGCGAAAGUGACGGUACCUGCAGAAAAAGCACCGGCUAACUACGUGCCAGCCGCCGCAGUAA
rnacentral:rRNA from 1 species